ensembl:lncRNA
UACAGAGUCAAUGUGGAGGCUAUAUACAGGGUAUUACGGUACAGAGUCAAUGUGGAGGCUAUAUACAGGGUAUUACGGUACAGAGUCAAUGUGGAGGCUAUAUACAGGGUAUUACGGUACAGCGUCAAUGUGGAGGCUAUAUACAGGGUAUUACGAUACAGAGUCAAUGUGGAGGCUAUAUACAGGGUGUUACGGUACAGAGUCAAUUUGGAGGCUAUAUACAGGGGGUACGGUACAGAGUCAAUGUGGAGGCUAUAUACAGGGUAUUACGGUACAGAGUCAAUGUGGAGGCUAUAUACAGGGUAUUACGGUACAGAGUCAAUGUGGAGGCUAUAUACAGGGUAUUACGGUACAGAGUCAAUGUGGAGGCUAUAUACAGGGUAUUACGAUACAGAGUCAAUGUGGAGGCUAUAUACAGGGUGUUACGGUACAGAGUCAAUUUGGAGGCUAUAUACAGGGUAUUACGGUACAUAGUCAAUGUGGAGGCUAUAUACAGGGUAUUACAGUACAGAGUCAAUGUGGAGGCUAUAUACAGGGUAUUACGGUACAGAGUCAAUGUGGAGGGGUUCUGGUUUGUCCUGGACUACUUUGCAGAUUUGAAACAAACAGACAAUCAUAAUAUCAGCCAAAAAUAUAAAAUUCCCAGUUUAUGUUUACAAAACCAA